UCCUCUUGGUCUCGCUUCUCUCCUCCGUGCUCUGAGGACAGUCCUCCCUCUGCUGCUUCUGAGACUGCCUACGUUGCCUCUUCGUCAAAAUCUCCAAAGUGUGACCAAAUUCAUGGGGAUUGUGUUUGGAUUGGCGGGGAAACUGUUGUUCGUCGGGGCGAAUUCGAGAAGUUGUUGUUCGUAAGAGGCGAUCGUGGAAGAAGGUGGUAUUGCUACACUUGUGGAGGCGAUCGAAGAUGGGUCGGUGAAGGGGAAGGAGUUCGUUAUUCUGACUCUUGCUCAGCUCUGUGCUCACAGUGUUAAUAACAGAGGCUUGCUUGUGGAUUCCUCCUCUCGUUGCUCUUUCUCAAAACGACUCUGUUCGAGCUAAGCACAAGGGUUUAGUUUCCCCUUUAUCAGAAUCUUGCUUUCCGCGACCAUAGUCAAGUGCCUGAACUUUUUCUGAGUUUUUUUGUGGCGUGUUCGAAUUUUGAGUUCUUUCCUGCAAUAAGU